GACGAACGCUGGCGGCGUGCUUAACACAUGCAAGUCGAACGGAAAGGCCCUGCUUUUGUGGGGUGCUCGAGUGGCGAACGGGUGGGUAACACGUGAGUAACCUGCCCUGGACUUUGGGAUAACUUCAGGAAACUGGGGCUAAUACCGGAUAGGAGCUCCUGCUGCAUGGUGGGGGUUGGAAAGUUUCGGCGGUUGGGGAUGGACUCGCGGCUUAUCAGCUUGUUGGUGGGGUAGUGGCUUACCAAGGCUUUGACGGGUAGCCGGCCUGAGAGGGUGACCGGCCACAUUGGGACUGAGAUACGGCCCAGACUCCUACGGGAGGCAGCAGUGGGGAAUAUUGCACAAUGGGCGGAAGCCUGAUGCAGCAACGCCGCGUGCGGGAUGACGGCCUUCGGGUUGUAAACCGCUUUCGCCUGUGACGAAGCGUGAGUGACGGUAAUGGGUAAAGAAGCACCGGCUAACUACGUG
rnacentral:rRNA from 1 species